UGGGCAACCUGCCCCUCUCACUGGGAUAACCCCCGGGAAACCGGAGCUAAUACCGGAUACGAACCGCACAGGCAUCUGAGCGGUUGGAAAGAACUUCGGUCAAGGAUGGGCUCGCGGCCUAUCAGCUUGUUGGUGAGGUAACGGCCCACCAAGGCGACGACGGGUAGCCGGCCUGAGAGGGUGAUCGGCCACACUGGGACUGAGACACGGCCCAGACUCCUACGGGAGGCAG
rnacentral:rRNA from 1 species